rnacentral:rRNA from 1 species
GUGCCAGCAGCCGCGGUAAGACGUAGGAUGCGAGCGUUGUCCGGAUUUAUUGGGCGUAAAGAGUUCGUAGGUGGUUCGUUAAGUCUGGUGUAAAAGACUGGGGCUCAACCCUGGGAUCGCACUGGAUACUGGCGGACUGGAGUGUGGUAGAGGCAAGCGGAAUUCCCAGUGUAGCGGUGAAAUGCGUAGAUAUUGGGAAGAACACCGGUGGCGCAAGCGGCUUGCUGGGCCAUAACUGACACUGAGGAACGAAAGCUAGGGGAGCGAAUGGGAUUAGAUACCCCAGUAGUCC